rnacentral:sRNA from 1 species
UGGAAGGAUAGGUUGACGAACCGAAAAACCGGGGACCCUGCCCGGUUUUCCUUCCAAUAAAAACCAGGG